rnacentral:rRNA from 1 species
CUGCUGCCUUCCGUAGGAGUCUGGUCCGUGUCUCAGUACCAGUGUGGGGGACCUUCCUCUCAGAACCCCUACGCAUCGUCGCCUCGGUGGGCCGUUACCCCGCCGACUAGCUAAUGCGCCGCAUGGCCAUCCGCAGCCGAUGAAUCUUUAACCGCCGAGGGAUGCCCCUCCGCGGUGUUACGCGGUAUUAGACGGAAUUUCUUCCGCUUAUCCCCCUGCUGCGGGCAGGUUCCAUACGUGUUACUCACCCGUGCGCCGGUCGCCGG